GAGGAGAUAGUGUAAUGCGUUGCCAGAAUAUACGUUUAAAUAGUCGUUAACAAGAAUCUAAUAUUAUCGGGGUAUUACGUUUGCGAAUGGAAUUAGGAUGCAAUUUGGAAAUAAUGGCAUUUUCUGCACUGAGUUGUGAAAUAGAGCAGGCGACAGGAGGUUUCCCGCGUAAAUUCGCCCACCUCAGCUUUAUGUACAGAAAAUGCAAAAACGGUAGUUUAUCUUCAAGACAUGGAGUGAGGAAUAUAUAGAAAUCUUUUGUACAACAUGGCAUUUCCGGUGACAUUUCUGGCAUUGUUCUGAAAAAUGGUGAUGAACGCUUAGACGAACGCAGGAUCUUUACUACGUUCUCGCCGCGCAUCACCAGCAGAGAGGACGGAUGAUACAGGAACAGACACUUAAUCGGAUCAUUUAUUCGGAGGAGUGAUAUAUUUCAGUUGUAGCUGACGUAAAACUGGCAAUAUAUCUCCCGAUAGUUGGCGUCUGGUUGGGCACGCGGUAUCUUCCUGUGUUCGAAGGCCACACUCCGGACGCUGCGGAUCGAUAAGAGUCGAUUAAAAAUCCCUGAGGAAUCCCACAAUUAGACGGAUGGUUACGUCGGUGGAAAUUUCACAAAAUUAAUGGAAUCCAGUCUUAAGCACCCGAGGCAAUCAAGUGAAUACACAUAUUGAGGAAUUUCAUACAAAUAAGUGGCGAGCUGGCGAGGUCGGCGAUUCGGCAGACGUUCACCAGAAUGAUUGCGGGGAUAAUGGGACCGAUUCAUCAUCCGCAGGAACAUUACAUAUGGAUUACAGCCCCGAGAGAUAGCAGUGUCACGGGACGACACUUUUUAAAAUUCUCGGAUUUAGGGAUUACAGAUUGCUGAAGAAAGCGAUCGUUUUGAAUGUAGGAUUACGACAGUGUCGUCUUCUUUUCUUCUUGAGCGUGACGAGGGGUGCUUUAGAAAAGCACAGCGUAGAUGACUGCAGUGAAACAGCAUUGUGUGAUGUAGCAGGGAACAACAAUAUUGGAGUCGCAGUCGCCAGCCGGUGGAAUGCAAAUGCUAGGCAGCAGCUAGCCUAGGAUACAUGUUACUCGAACACGGUGCAAGUGCAAGCAGACACAGAUUUGCUAUUACUUUGCUGAACGCUGUUAAUAAACACCUCACCGUUGGAUCCUCCUAAGUACAACGCCAGUACGACUCGGUGCUGAUUAAUCUGCCGCCUGUCGCCACAUCAUUAUAUUGAUAUCACUGAGGUUCAAGAUGACAAUCUGUUGACUCGUCGACUCCGAGAGUGUGAUAAGCCGGGAGCUAACAUGACCAAGGGUCAGACAAGAUAUGCCAUGGCUUUAAUCCACCGAGCAAUCAGGGAACUCCGGAAGACUAUUUCGCGCAUGCUCCUGCUAUCACUUCCGGCUGCGGUCGUCCUGCUUCUCGUUUAUGUCUUCUACAUCGUUCACCUUACAACUCAAGACAGGCAAAAGGAAUUCCAUAGGAUAAAUGUUCUACAAUCAAAAUUCUACCGUCUGAAUGACACUGUGGUGAAUGCGCAUAACUUCACAAAACUAAUCGAACCGACAAUCCCGUGUAGGAAUUCGACCAAUCAUGGACCUUUUUUGGUCAUGUUGAUACCAUCCACCGUAGGGAGAGAAAAUCGUCGGGAUAUUAUACGGACUUCCUGGGGAAGUUAUGUCAAAAGAAAUGGCACCAGAUGGCCUAAUAUUCAAAUGCCCAAAUGGACACAACCUGCUUUUCAAAAUUUCAAAAUGUAUUUUCUAUUCGGGACAAAACCAAACUCAACAUGGCAUCACAAAUUAAAACUUGAGAAUAAAAAAUAUGGUGAUAUAAUUCAGGAGGAUUUCAUAGACACGUAUUCUAAUUUGACUAUCAAAAGUAUAAUGGGGUUAAAGUGGGCUGUGACGAAUUGCAAAGGUGCUAAAUAUGUCAUGAAAGUUGAUGAUGACGUAUUCGUUAACAUGCCAAAUUUAGUUAGAUUCCUUGAAAAUAUCCGCCCCGUGAAAGGCAUUGGUGGAAUGAUUAGUAAAAGAGCGCUUGUUUGGCGGGAGGGAAAAUGGGAGAUCACUGUAAAUGAUUUCCCUUUUUCGAGGUACCCGAAAUACGCGGUGGGCUGCUCUUACAUCAUGGGACUUCCGGUUGCAGAAAAGUUGUAUAAAACGUCACUGCAUGUGCCUUAUAUUCAUCUGGAGGACGUCUAUGUCACAGGAAUUCUGGCGAAAAUUAACGAUUUGACACAUUAUAAUGACAAGGGGUUUUCCGAUGCCCUCCGGAAGCCUCCGACGAGCGCUUGUGUUUUGAUCCGAGGGAACCCGAUCACCAGCACGAACUGGAAACAACCGAAUGGGAUCCUGAAUCUUUGGAAGGAAUUAUUGGACAUUGACACAGGGAGGAACAACAGGACAUGCUGAUUCGGACUCCUGACUGUAUGCUUUGGACGAAGAAAGAAUAAAAGAUGGAGUGCGCCGAGAGAGGGCGCUACCUCUUCGGCUACUUUCGUCCCACAACGUAAUCUCCUGGUCAUGGAUCCGCAGCAGACGACACUGCAAAUUAGACAAUGGGAGUGUCAGUGUAAGUUGGAAGACUCGGCCAAAGAGCGCGGAAGUCGGUGAGGCCGUCGUCUGAUGCAGUUGUCAUGGGACCUGCCAACCUACACCUCCGAAAGGUCAAGAAGGUGCUUCACUUUGCCCCCGCGUUCAU